rnacentral:lncRNA from 1 species
UAUUUACUCUUUUUUCCUCUUGCUUGUGUGCGUGCGUGCAUGUUUGUGUGUGUGUGUGUAUGUUCAAGAAUUUCGAUUUCCUCCGAGGUUUCUCCGUGUUUUAGCCGUUGGUGGCUGAGAUUACCAAUUUUCGCGUAAAAUAAGCAGAAACAAAGAUGGUACAGAAAGAUGGUGGCUGUUGUUGGUGUUUCAUUUUAUGUUCUUUGCGUUUUUCUUAAAAUUAUGUUUUCAUUUCAAAAAUUUCAGUUCCAGCUGGUGCAGUUCUGGGAUUCCGUUUUCCCACGGUUUUGUUUUAAUUCCAGUCACAUUCAUUUUAGUUGGUCUUUCUAACUGUUGCAGGGAUUUAUUCAUGGUCUUUUUUCUAUGAUUAAUUCACCGAAGAGGAUUCUUUCAACCAUCAUCGCCAAUAUUUUGUCAUGGUUGAUCUUAUGACUCUUGUUUUUUUUUUUUUUUUUUUUUUUUUUUUUUGUUUUUUUUUAGAAUUUGAGAGAAUUUCCUCUGAAAUGAUUUGGAGACGUCCUAGAAGGAUUCUAGCAGAUAUUUUCCCUGCAUCUGAGAACAAUAAUAUUCCACAAUAACUCCUGAGAUUUUUCAAUCUCCUUUGUCAAGAUUGGUGAUAAUUACUGCAUAUUUAAAUUCAUCUACUGCAUAUUUUAAAUUCAACAGUUUUCCCAUUUUUUCAGGAUUAGAUAAAAAAAGAAAAAUUACUUUUGAGAAGUAGUAUCGCAUGUUUCAGUAAUUCAAGUGGAAUAUUAUCUUCACCAGGGAAUUUUCGUAGUUCCGUCCUAUUCAUGGCAUUUUCAAACUCUCGUUGUCUUCUCAUUUGAUGUUUAAGAUACCGCUGGGUUUGAUUUAUCGAUGAUAAAAUGUUCGUGUUUCACAGCCGUAUAAUAAUGCUGAGAUAAAUUAGCUUGCUAGACCAUCACUUUGUUUUUAUUGUUAGUUAUAUGUUCUUAGAAACCCGUUUUGCCAAUUUUCCAAACGCUGAAGAGCUGAUUGUUUCGGUUUCACUGUGAAUAUCACGAAGAACUAGUCCUAGCCUAACCUGCUCCGAAGGCCAACCUCCAUGAUUUCAACAAUAUCCGUGAUAUAUCUCACGAACAGAUUGACCAUUUUCCCUAUUUUGAAAGUAUUGUUUCGAACAAAUGUACCCUGGAAAAGGAUGUGCAACACAGAAUUGGAUCAGUUCACCCAAUGUUUGGAAAAUUGGUAAAAUUCCAGCAAUUAGCCAACAAUUGUUGACUGAUUGCUGGAGUUUCUGAUGUGUUUUGACAUAGUAGCAUUGCUAUCUGCGUAUUGAAACUCUGAAAAGAUUCGGACGUUGAAGUAUCGAUGAGACCUAAGCCUGUCUAUGCUAGAUAGUCCACCAUUACAAUAGUAUUUGAUGUCAGUACCUCAUUAAGUUUAAGGAGAAGAGUGAAAGUGCAAGAAUGCAUCCCUGGUUCAACCCACAUGUAAUUGGGAACUGUUCGGAAAGUUUUACUUUGAUCAAAAAUAAACCUGACAUAUUGCCAUGCAGUUCUUGAAUCAGUGAAGUGAAGUGGUUUGGGCAACUAAAACGCUAAAGAACCAUCCAUAUGACAUCUCUUGUCACACUGUCAAAAACUUUUCUUGGUUGUAGAAGACAAGGAAAAAUUGUUUCCGUUGUUCUUUGCUUUCCUCUUGUAGUUGUUUCGCUCAGAAAAAUCAUGUUGAAUGUGCCAUGAAAGGCAUGAAAAUCUAGAGAUUCGGGGAGAAUCUCUCCGCAACGAUAUGUAGACGGUUUCGAAAGAUACUUGCAAAUACUUUUCCUUCAAUAGAAAGCAAUGAAAUAUCACCAUAAUUCUCACAAAAUUUUCCUUUCUUGAAGAUGGUGAUAAUAACUGCAUCCUUAAAUUCAUUUACGACUCAAUGGUUUGCCCAUGUCUUCAAAAUUUGUGAGACAAGCUGGGUUUUGAGAUAUAUUCCACCAUAUUUCAAUGAUUUAAGAGAAAUGGUGUUUGGAUUUGGGGAUUUUUACUGUUUCAUUCUUUUUCACAGCAUUUUCAAACUCUCAAAAUCAUAAUUGUACAAUCAUCUACAGUUUUCUAUGAUUAUGUGAAACAUUUCUUAAGAAAUCUGUUGUUGGUGAAUUCUGAUUCAACAGCGAGGGAAAAUGUUUCUUCCAGUGUUGGAGGUUAUCGUGUGGAUCCGUCAGCAGCUAGAUAGUCGCCUGUUGACGUUCGUACUGAGCUAAACAUUUGCUUCGCUCCAACAAAGAAGUUUCUAAAUUCACGGGCAACUGCAUAGUUUUCAAGUUGCUUUUUGUGCCACAAGUUGUUCGGAAUUACUUUGAGUUUAGUUUGACAUUGAUGUUCGAAAUUUUGAUAGCAAGUCAUAUUAAAUCUUUAUCAUGGAUCUUGCUCGUGUGACAUCCGAGCAUAUUGCUUUUCCUCAACGGACUAAUUAAUUUCAUCGUUAUUGUCAAAUCAAUUUUGGGCUCCCCUUUUUGGUGAAACCAUUGAUACUUUUGUUAUCAAGUGAUGAUACUUUGAAUUGAUGACCAUUGUUCAUCAGUGAUGUGGGGUGGGGGAUGUAGUGCGGUCUGCAGAGCACGACGUAUCGCCAAUGUUUAGAACUCUAGGUCUUCCAUUAUAGUUUCAAAGGCUCAUUCGUGAAGAGAAACUGAAUUGCAUUUCUAAAUACCUUGCUGUAGUUAUUCCUCGAUAUUUUGAAUACAGAACAUAGAUAAGAAAGAAAAAAAGAAAGAUUAGUCUUUUUUACGUUUUCCAAUAAAUUCUUGCACGCGUUUCAAUUCUGUUGACGACUGUUAUGGAAAGUAUUACUUCACAAUCAGAUUACAUCACUAAAACUUCAUAUUACAUAACAAACGAAAUAGCAAUAGAUACAUGGUUUCUACAGCAUCUUAUACACAGGCGCGCGCGCUAUAUACUUGCGUACAGGUUUCGUAUUACCGAAUGGUUAACAAGUAUGAUUCGCUGUCACGAGGUCCCGGAUCCCACUUUAUGGCAUUUUCAUUUUCUUUAGCUUUCGGGUGAACAAUAUCUUGUUAGGGAAAAUAGGUAAACGGAAACUGUAUAGAAAGUCCUGUCUCACGCUGAUUUGACUGAGAAUUAUGUUGGAGUAUAUGUAUCUGUGGAUUGCUGAGUCGCAUACUCGUUAAUUCAAGGGCAGAGUUUGGUACUUUCAUAUCUCCAAAUAACACAGCUAUGCUCCUUGAUCAGAGCAUUUACAUGAAAAACAGUGAUACUGGGUAAGAGAAUUGUCCUUUGAUUAACUGACAACAUUCCAUCUUGGCUGCAUCGUUAUCAGAGAGAAUUUGUUUGGUGGCAACAAUUUCAUCCUUGACGCGAGCACGAACUUCUAUUGGUAAAUCAUGGAUAUUUCCAGUUUUACAAAGUCAUUCAUAAGUUUGUCUUAAAUGUUUUGUGACUUGAAGGACGUUUUCCAUACAAGCUUCGUCACUGUGGCAUUGACGAAGCACUGGCGGAAUGAAUUAAAUAAAAUAAUCAAUAAAUUAAUU